rnacentral:rRNA from 1 species
GACGAACGCUGGCGGCGUGCCUAAUACAUGCAAGUAGAACGCUGAAGGAGGAGCUUGCUUCUCUGGAUGAGUUGCGAACGGGUGAGUAACGCGUAGGUAACCUGCCUGGUAGCGGGGGAUAACUAUUGGAAACGAUAGCUAAUACCGCAUAAGAGUAGAUGUUGCAUGACAUUUGCUUAAAAGGUGCAAUUGCAUCACUACCAGAUGGACCUGCGUUGUAUUAGCUAGUUGGUGAGGUAACGGCUCACCAAGGCGACGAUACAUAGCCGACCUGAGAGGGUGAUCGGCCACACUGGGACUGAGACACGGCCCAGACUCCUACGGGAGGCAGCAGUAGGGAAUCUUCGGCAAUGGACGGAAGUCUGACCGAGUAACGCCGCGUGAGUGAAGAAGGUUUUCGGAUCGUAAAGCUCUGUUGUAAGAGAAGAACGAGUGUGAGAGUGGAAAGUUCACACUGUGACGGUAUCUUACCAGAAAGGGACGGCUAACUACGUG